CGGUGUACUUUUUCCUUAAUUUGACGAUACUGAUGCCGAUAUGCGAUUCGCGGCGUUGGACUUGAAGCAUGGGCCUCAAUCCAUUGGCCCUGCACUAGUACUUCAAGAACACUCAAUUCAAGAUAUUUCAGCGUCGGAUUCAGCCUAAGCGACGGAUUUAGCCUAGCAAGGGCGGUCUUCGAGCUGUCACUUGUCAGUGUUCACCCCUUCACGGCUUCACCCAUCUCCAUCCAUCGACGGACCAUUUGCGCUUGGCAAUGGCACGAAGCGUCCACAAGUCUCCACGUCCCCGCGUACUGGGCGACAUGAUUUUUUUUUUUAAAAAAAGAAAACUAAAGAGCACUUUAUUCCAACUUAGAAGCAUAGAACAUGCUAGAUUACAAAUUUUCUGAGACUGAUGUUGUCUCUGACAGAGUUUGCAUAACGAUAGGCUAGAUGAGAUAUGUUUUGACAAAUGAAAACAGGAGCAGAAGGCUGCUUGGAUUUUGCUUCUUUAGCUAACCUAUCUGCUGACUUGUUUAUCUCCCUUGGGAUUCAGCUAACCUGCAAAAGACAUUCUGG
rnacentral:sRNA from 1 species